AGACACCGAAGCACAGAGGGGUUUGGUAACUUGUUGAAGGAUACACAGCUAAUGUAGAGGACUUGAACCCAGCAGACUGACCCAGAUGCUUUCUUCUGCCAUAUCAGCCAUUUAGCCGGUCCUUUCCAGAAACCCUUCCCGUUAUCGGGGGACAUCCUUUACCCUUCCCACCUGCCCUCCGGAGGCUUCCCUCUGAACCCACUUCUGUAACCAGAGUUCCCCAUCCUUGGGACUUCACAGUCAAUCGUCCUGUGUGCUGCUCUCAUUAUCCCGGUGCUGCAGGUGGGGAAACUGAGGCAAGGAGCAGGGCGAUCACACCUGCCCCAGGCUGGAAAGCCGGAGAUCUGGGUCAAACUCAGGCUGUCUGAUCCAGAAAACCAUGCUCCCCUACUGGUCUUCAUACUUCGUCCUAGCAUGGCCGGCCUGCUAUCAACACCCGGGUUCCCCAGCGCCUCACUGUAAGCGUUCAUGGGUCCUCCAUAUGAGAAAAUGGAGGAGCUGGGAUGGCCCUGAGAGAGGAAGCUUGGCCCGGCCUCAGGGGAUGCUUCAGGGAGGGCAGGAAGCCUACCUGAUUUUCCCAGGAGAAGCAAAGGUACCCACCUGGAAGCAGCAGGAUAUUUCAGACUGAAGGAACCAUGUAC
ensembl:lncRNA